rnacentral:rRNA from 1 species
UUGGAGGGCAAGUCUGGUGCCAGCAGCCGCGGUAAUUCCAGCUCCAAUAGCGUAUAUUAAAGUUGUUGCAGUUAAAAAGCUCGUAGUUGAAUUUCGGGGUUCUACCGUCGGUCGGGCUACCAAGUCUGUACUGGUGUGUAGAAUUUCUACCUUCUGGGGAACCAUCAUGUUAUUAAUUUAGCGUGGUGGGAAACCAGGACCUUUACCUUGAAAAAAUUAGAGUGUUCAAAGCAGGCUUAUGUCUGAAUACAUUAGCAUGGAAUAAUAGAAUAGGACGGUGGUCCUGUUUUGUUGGUUUCUGAAUCACCGUAAUGAUUAAUAGGGAUAGUUGGGGGCAUUAGUAUUCAAUUGUCAGAGGUGAAAUUCUUGGAUUUAUUGAAGACUAACUUCUGCGAAAGCAUUUGCCAAGGAUGUUUUCAUUAAUCAAGAACGAAAGUUAGGGGAUCGAAGACGAUCAGAUACCGUCGUAGUCUUAACCAUAAACUAUGCCGACUAGGGAUCGGACGAUGUUAAAUUUUAUUGACUCGUUCGGCGCCUUACGGGAAAC